AUGAACUGUUCGUCUUUGUUUCUUGUGAAUUUCGUGUGCUACUCCACUUCCUGAUAGAAUUGAUUUCUGAAGUCAUGUGGACUGGGCGAUCGGGGUUCAAGCUCAAUUAUGAUUUGCUGGUUCUUGUUAGAAGAGAUGAUAGAUAAUUGCAACUGCUCCGAGGCUCAUUAAAUCCUCCUCUCCUUUAGAAUUCUAAAAUAUAACUACACCAAACAUGUUGCGGACAAAUUUGUCUGCAAGUGAAAACUGUAGACCUGCUUCCUGGUCCAAGAUCCAUGUACUACCUAAUUAUUGUCCACUUGGUGUUCUCUUCAAUCAAGACACAAGCGAUGCUCAGUUGGAUCAGAGAGUCAAAAGCUAGUCCAAUGAAGCUUUCUCCAUUGCUAAAAGAAUUGUCUAUGAAAUCUGGUUCAAUUCCAUAAAUCGGCUUCCACCAAUAGAAAGACCAGGCUAUCAUUAAGGUAUGAAAGAUCAGGAGAGGCUGGAGAGAUUUUGGUUAUGGAUUUCUUCGUGAGUACAGUGGGUACAUUGAAAGAAGACUCCUUUCGUUACUGCCUAUACUAUUCUGUCCAUUCUAGCUGUGGAAAGAGUUUCUUGCUAUGUGUCUGAUGCUGACCUUUGAAACCAUGCCAAUUUAAGUGGGUGCCUUUCUGCAAAAAAAUUAACAUCAAGUCUCGCCCUGCUGAGUUUUAUUUCUCCCAAAAGAUUGAUUACUUGAAGGACGAGUGCAACCGAAUUUUGUUAAGGAGAAUCAAGAUAGAAUUGAUUUCUAAAGCUCAUUUAUGAUUUGCUGGUUCUUGUCAGAAGAGAUGAUAGAUAUAUGCAACUGCUCCGAGGCUCAUUAAAUCCUCCUCUCCUUUAGAAUUCUAAAAUAUAACUACACCAAACAUGUUGCGGACAAAUUUGUCUGCAAGUGAAAACUGUAGACCUGCUUCCUGGUCCAAGAUCCAUGUACUACCUAAUUAUUGUCCACUUGGUGUUCUCUUCAAUCAAGACACAAGCGAUGCCCAGUUGGAUCAGAGUCCAGGAAUCAAUUUCGGAAGCAUUCAAAUGCGCAUCUGUAUAACAUUUGGCACGGCUAUUUAUUUUCAAAUUAAGUCCAGGAAUCAAUUUCGGAAGCAUUCAAAUUCAUUACCAGUUCUUUUUGUUUUUGUCUCCACUGUGUUUUCUCUGUUCUCAUGUAAUGACGGAAGAGUCAAAAGCUAGUCCAAUGAAAUGUUGUUUUGAUCUAUAAGCUCAUCAGGAGGAGGGAAGCUUUCUCCAUUGCUAAAAGAAUUGUCUAUGAAAUCUGGUUCAAUUCCAUAAAUGAGCUUCCACCAAUAGAAAGACCAGGCUAUCAUUAAGGUAUGAAAGAUCAGGAGAGGCUGGGGAAAUUUUGGUUGUGGAUUUCUUCGUGAGUACAGUGGGUACUUUGAAAGAAGAAUCCUUUCGCUACUGCCUAUACUAUUCUGUCCAUUCUAGCUGUGGAAAGAGAUUCUUGCCAUGUGUCCGAAACCAUGCCAAUUUAAGUGGGUGCCAUUCUGCAAAAAAAUUAACAUCAAGCCUCGCCCUUCUGAGUUUUAUUUCUCCCAAAAGAUUGAUUACUUUAAAGACAAGUGCAACCGAACUUUGUUAAGGAGAAUCAAGGGGCAUGCACUUGUUGGAUGGAACCCCGAAUUUGGGAUUGCUCUGACCAGCUCUUUAAGGCUUUUAAUUCAUAGAAGUGGACACUGGACAGUUUUAAGAAAUAUGGAGAAGUGGAGUCCCGUAGAGGCACUAUUAUCAGCAAAUCUGUAAAUGGGUUCUGAAUGUAACAUAUGAGUGAGAGGUUGGCAUUUAAUGAUUUCUAAAUUGGGUGCCUUCUAGAGGCUGUGCGUAGCAUUUUAGAGGGGAGUUUUUAGGAGUGUGUUUUCUGUUUUGGGGGCGGGGGAAUUUUUUUAGUGAGAAAGAUAGAGAGUGGGGAAUGGUUUUUGGUUUGAAAGGUUUAACUUGUUGGUUGCAGGUGUAGCUUUAGGAUGAGAGUUUGAAAGAAGGCUUUUGAGAAGUCAUUAUAUGCCGGUAUAAACAUCACAAAUCAAAUGAAAAUAUUGUAAAGUGAAGUCAAUAGAUUCAUUAUUUUGUAAUGCAGAUUUGUUUUGAGUUUCAAUAAAAAGUUCUGAAGUUUGUGCUUCAGUUCAUUGUCAAUUUUAUCUAUUUUGUUGUUAUACAUUUGAAAUUUG